CGACGAUGCCUAGGGGUUCUGAGAGGAAGGUCCCCCACACUGGUACUGAGACACGGACCAGACUCCUACGGGAGGCAGCAGUGAGGAAUAUUGGUCAAUGGGCGUAAGCCUGAACCAGCCAAGUCGCGUGAGGGACGACGGCCCUACGGGUUGUAAACCUCUUUUGCCGGGGGACAAACGGCGGCACGCGUGCCGUCCUGAGGGUACCCGGAGAAAAAGCAUCGGCUAACUCCGUGCCAGCAGCCGCGGUAAUACGGAGGAUGCGAGCGUUAUCCGGAUUUAUUGGGUUUAAAGGGUGCGUAGGCGGGAUGCCAAGUCAGCGGUCAAAUACGGGGGCUCAACCUGCGUCCGCCGUUGAAACUGGCGUUCUUGAGUGGGCGAGAAGUACGCGGAAUGCGUGGUGUAGCGGUGAAAUGCAUAGAUAUCACGCAGAACCCCGAUUGCGAAGGCAGCGUACCGGCGCCCAACUGACGCUGAAGCACGAAAGCGUGGGUAUCGAACAGGAUUAGAUACCCUGGUAGUCCACGCAGUA
rnacentral:rRNA from 1 species